CCUACGGGCGGCAGCAGUGGGGAAUAUUGGACAAUGGGGGCAACCCUGAUCCAGCCAUGCCGCGUGUGUGAAGAAGGCCCUCGGGUUGUAAAGCACUUUCAGUGAGGAAGAACGCCUGGUGGUUAAUACCCAUCAGGAAAGACAUCACUCACAGAAGAAGCACCGGCUAACUCCGUGCCAGCAGCCGCGGUAAUACGGAGGGUGUGAGCGUUAAUCGGAAUUACUGGGCGUAAAGCGCGCGUAGGUGGCUUGAUAAGCCGGUUGUGAAAGCCCCGGGCUCAACCUGGGAACGGCAUCCGGAACUGUCAAGCUAGAGUGCAGGAGAGGAAGGUAGAAUUCCCGGUGUAGCGGUGAAAUGCGUAGAGAUCGGGAGGAAUACCAGUGGCGAAGGCGGCCUUCUGGACUGACACUGACACUGAGGUGCGAAAGCGUGGGUAGCAAACAGGAUUAGAUACCCUUGUAGUC
rnacentral:rRNA from 1 species